AGUUUGCUACGGUUGAGGGACCCCGACGAGACGCGCCGUACCGGGUGAACCGAAAGACGACGCACC
rnacentral:ncRNA from 1 species